CAAGCGUUGGUCGGAUUCAUUGGGCGUAAAGGGUGCGUAGGUGGCGCCGUAAGUCAGGUGUGAAAUUUCGGAGCUCAACUCCGAAACUGCAUUUGAUACUGCGGUGCUUGAGGACUGGAGAGGAGACUGGAAUUUACGGUGUAGCAGUGAAAUGCGUAGAUAUCGUAAGGAAGACCAGUGGCGAAGGCGGGUCUCUGGACAGUUCCUGACACUGAGGCACGAAAGCUAGGGGAGCAAACAGG
rnacentral:rRNA from 1 species